rnacentral:rRNA from 1 species
GAUGAACGCUAGCUACAGGCUUAACACAUGCCAGUCGAGGGGAAACGACAUCGAAAGCUUGCUUUUGAUGGGCGUCGACCGGCGCACGGGUGAGUAACGCGUAUCCAACCUGCCCAUCACUUGGGAAUAACCUUGCGAAAGUAAGACUAAUACCCAAUGAUAUCCCACGAAGGCAUCGGAAUGGGAUUAAAGAUUUAUCGGUGAUGGAUGGGGAUGCGUCUGAUUAGCUUGUUGGCGGGGUAACGGCCCACCAAGGCAACGAUCAGUAGGGGUUCUGAGAGGAAGGGCCCCCACAUUGGAACUGAGACACGGUCCAAACUCCUACGGGAGGCAGCAGUGAGGAAUAUUGGUCAAUGGGCGAGAGCCUGAACCAGCCAAGUAGCGUGCAGGAAGACGGCCCUAUGGGUUGUAAACUGCUUUUAUAAGGGAAUAAAGUGGGUCACGUGUGACUUUUUGCAUGUACCUUAUGAAUAAGGACCGGCUAAUUCCGUG